GUCCACGCCCUAAACGAUGUCAACUAGGUGUUGGGAGGGUAAACCUUUAGUACCGGAGCUAACGCGUGAAGUUGACCGCCUGGGGAGUACGGCCGCAAGGUUAAACUCAAAGGAAUUGACGGGGACCCGGCACAAGCGGUGGAUGAUGUGGAUUAAUUCGAUGCAACGCGAAAACCUUAACCUACCCUUGACAUGUCAGGAAGUCUUGAGAGAUUGAGAUGUGCCCCGAAAGGGAACCUGAACACAGGUGCUGCAUGGCUGUCGU
rnacentral:rRNA from 1 species